GGAAUCUGGCCGGAGAGUUUGUUGUUCGACACGUCAAACGCAGACAGCCUCGCCAAGAGUCCUAGCUGCUGAGGGAUUUGACCGGAGAGCUGGUUAUCAUGGAGGUCGAUGACGUUCAGGUAAGCGCAGAGAGCUAACUGCGGAGAGAUUUCGCCGGAGAGACGGUUUGAUGAGAGGUUGAGUACGGCGAGGUUAACGAGAAACUGUAUCUCCGGCGGGAUGUCACCGGAGAUCUGGUUUGACGAUAGAUCCAAGGACUGGAGGUUGGUGCAGUUGGAGAGAAACGGAGAGAUUGAGCCGCGAAGUGAGAGGCUAGUGAGAGAAAGCUUAUAGAUUCUGCCAUUGUUACAGGUGGCGCCAGGGAGGUAAGAGGUGAAGCCGGAACAAGGGUUGGAGAAGACGUUGUUUGUCCAGUUCCGGAGAUUACGCGCCGGAUCCUCCAAGCUUUGUCGGAGAUUCUUCAAACACGCCUCGUCGUUUGGAUCAGCGGAAGCUAAACGCCGUGCCGUUUCGAAGCUUAGUAAAAGGAGAAGGAGUAACCGGUAGCUAAUAAACCGGUGACUCCUCGCCAUCUGUUUCCGUCGUCGUCAGAGAGAUUUCGCCAAGGUUGAAGAAAAAAGUGGAGUUUCCAUGUGACUGUCAACGAAAAAGGAAACGGUUGCAGAACAUUUGUACUUGAGAAAGUGUGUUGUGUAAUAAUACGGCGCGUGUUAGCAUAUCGUGCGUAGGAUAGAAGUGGAACUUAAAUGGAGGGAUUAGAUUGAAUUGAUUGUCCUGGGGCUGGAUGUGAUUAAUUUUCGCUCAACAAUAACUUUUCAUUAUCCAAAUGUGAAUACAAGAUUACAACCUCGAAAAUUUUUAACGCUGUAUUUAGAAAAUGACUAGUCUUUUAAACUUUUAGGAAAAAUUUGGAAAAAUACCUUCAUAUGGGUUUAUAUUUUGAAAAUUACACUACUUAUUAUUGUUUUUGAAAAUUACACUUAUUUAUAGAUAAAAUGACCAAAAUAUCAUAUUUAAAUGUUAUAUGUAUUCUAAUAUUUAAUUUUAAAAUGUUUAAAAAGUAAAUCCAACAACAAUCAGGUUUUAUAUUUUUCUUUUCUAAAUAAAUUAAUAUCUAUAUAAAAUCUUAUUUAAAAUUUUAUUCAUGCGACAAUAUAUUAUUAUCUCGUUGGAAAUCUUUGUCGUCACCGUCAUAAUGGAGAAAACUUAUUAACCCCCACACGAGAAUGUAACCAAUUUUGGAACUUUAAAAAAAGAAAUCAAGUAUCCAUAAUCUGAACCACAAGUUCGACUAGAUCCACUGUUGCUUCCCCAGCAAAAUGCUUUUAAAUAUUUCAUCACUAUUCAAUAUACUUGUUCUUAGGAUCUUUUCAGAAACAAAAACCAAUCAAUCAACAUUACAAACUUCUUUAGCAAAUACUAAUGAUCCCUUGAAGAUUUUUUUUGUUUUGAUAUUAGAUCAGACACUCAUGAAAACAAUCCAGGAUAUAUAAAAACAAACGGUGCAUUGAUGUAUCUCUUUUCUUUUUGUUUCAGUUUAUUAAUUACUGUAACUUUGUACUUUGAUUAGCAUGAUUACAUGGAAGAUAGUAUGUUUAAGAACUUUGUGCAUAUGGGCACAUAAGAAUUCGUGGAGUUGCAGUUAAAUUUAUGACAUAUUUGAACAGUUUUUUAAGUGUGUAGUUUGCCUGUUUUAAAUGAUGGUUGAUGAACUUGUAAAACACUUCAAUCUAUUUCGUGAAAAAUAGACCCCAACAAUAUUAUGUAUUUAUCUCAAAUAUAAAUUUUGACACACAUAAAUAAUAAUAAUAUUUUUCGUAUUUACAUUUUAGUUAUUUAAAUUUGUAAUAUUAGAAUCAGGAUAAAUAUGUCUUAUCAUAUGCAAUAAAGUGUAGUUUUCAAAAAGAAAAAUGAAAAGUGUAUUUUUCAAAUUUCAAAUGAUAAACAGUGUAUAUUUCAAAUUAUCCCAAGAUUUUACAUAUAUCAAAAAUUAAAUAUACUCAUUUUUAAGCAGUUAAUACUUUAUUUAUUUCACAAUGCAAACUUAUAUUCUCAUAUUUAAUUUAUAUUUAUUGUUAAAGCAAAAUAUAUUAAUUAAGCUUUCUAACAUUAAUUUUUAAAUAUAAAAGGAUAAUUAAAAAAUCGAUUAUUUAAAUUUAGAGUGAAUGUAUAAUUUUAAUAUUCUUGGUUUAUUAUUUUUACAACUGUGGUUUCUUACAAAUAUUUUGCUCUGAGAGUGUAUGCUAAACAGUUUUUUAACAAGAUAUUUAAUAACUGGUUGUGCUAAACAAUUUUUCUUAGGGUGGUAUUUAGGUAUUCUUUUGUGGUUUGAAUGAUUUUUUUUCCAGAUUUUUGGUAAUAGACUUAUAAUUUUUAUUUGAUAAUUUAUUUUUUGGAUUGAAUUUGAUAAUCACUUGAUUCAAAUCAGAUUUUAUCUAAUAUAUAACAUCGUCCAAAAUCUAAAUAUUAUUCAAAUAUGUCUGAUAGAAAUAUUUACAGAUAUCCAAAAUAUUUAACGUAAAUAAUUUUUUUAAAAAUAUUUCUAUGAGUUUUAGUAGUUCAAGAACUACCUGAUAUCCAAAAUAUUUAAUCCUGAACUCUAUUCAAAAAUAUUUCUAAAAUUAAAUAAUAUCAAAUUUAGAUUUGAACCAGUUUGGAUUCAGAAUUUAGAUUUAGUUUUUUUUUUCAGUUCUGAUUUUUGCUUCACCUUCUAUAAUAAGACUAAAUUUACAGAAUUUACUCGAAAAAGAUGUUGAAUACGAUAAAAUUAAUAUGAAAAGAUGCAAGUUUGUUCUUAAAAAAACUUUAAAAAAUAACAAAAAUCCCAAAGAACGAAUAUACCAAAAAAAAACUCAAGCAUACCACCAAGAUGAAUAUUGAAUCAUCUUGUUUCAAAAACAGCCGUGAUUAAUUAAUUAUAACAUUUUAAAAAAAAAUCCUUAAUUAAAAUUUAGUAAUCAGGCAUUGAUUGACUAAUCUUGCCUUCUUCUUCAGCAGCCAUCUUCUUCUCAGUGAUCCUCAACCAAAUACAAACACCUGUGAAACUAAUCAUCAAGCUCACCACUCCACUUCCAAGCCCUAUCCCGACGAUCGCCAUCACCGAUAAGUCUUUGCCCUUCACCAUAUCCUGCAACGGAUACCCGUACAACCCCUUGUUCCCCACGAACGAGCUCGCGUUAAACCUCGGAAAACUCCCUGUCCUGUUCGACAAGUAUGUCGGAAUCUGGCCGGAGAGUUUGUUGUUCGACACGUCAAACGCAGACAGCCUCGCCAAGAGUCCUAGCUGCUGAGGGAUUUGACCGGAGAGCUGGUUAUCAUGGAGGUCGAUGACGUUCAGGUAAGCGCAGAGAGCUAACUGCGGAGAGAUUUCGCCGGAGAGACGGUUUGAUGAGAGGUUGAGUACGGCGAGGUUAACGAGAAACUGUAUCUCCGGCGGGAUGUCACCGGAGAUCUGGUUUGACGAUAGAUCCAAGGACUGGAGGUUGGUGCAGUUGGAGAGAAACGGAGAGAUUGAGCCGCGAAGUGAGAGGCUAGUGAGAGAAAGCUUAUAGAUUCUGCCAUUGUUACAGGUGGCGCCAGGGAGGUAAGAGGUGAAGCCGGAACAAGGGUUGGAGAAGACGUUGUUUGUCCAGUUCCGGAGAUUACGCGCCGGAUCCUCCAAGCUUUGUCGGAGAUUCUUCAAACACGCCUCGUCGUUUGGAUCAGCGGAAGCUAAACGCCGUGCCG
rnacentral:lncRNA from 1 species